AGUGAACGCUGGCGGUAGGCCUAUCACAUGCAAGUCGAACGGCAGCACAGUAAGAGCUUGCUCUUACGGGUGGCGAGUGGCGGACGGGUGAGGAAUACAUCGGAAUCUACUUUUUCGUGGGGGAUAACGUAGGGAAACUUACGCUAAUACCGCAUACGACCUACGGGUGAAAGCAGGGGAUCUUCGGACCUUGCGCGAUUGAAUGAGCCGAUGUCGGAUUAGCUAGUUGGCGGGGUAAAGGCCCACCAAGGCGACGAUCCGUAGCUGGUCUGAGGGGAUGAUCAGCCACACUGGAACUGAGACACGGUCCAGACUCCUACGGGAGGCAGCAGUGGGGAAUAUUGGACAAUGGGCGAAAGCCUGAUCCAGCCAUACCGCGUGGGUGAAGAAGGCCUUCGGGUUGUAAAGCCCUUUUGUUGGGAAAGAAAAGCAGCAGGUUAAUACCCCGCUGUUCUGACGGUACCCAAAGAAUAAGCACCGGCUAACUUCGUG
rnacentral:rRNA from 1 species